UAUGGCCUGAGUUUAGUGUUCCUGUUCCUGAUGAAUGAGCUGUGUAUAUUCCUGACAUGAUUGCUACCGGUUUUAUUUAUAUUUCUACCCCACUGGGAGCAUGUGUUUAUCAGGUGCUUACCUGCCCAAGUAACACGAGAGACUAUCAGAGCUGGGGCAAGCAUCCAAGAAAACAAGGAACUUUUAGGGUGUAGAUGCUUGCGCUUGUAAGAAGCCUCGUCCAUGACUCCAUGAUGGUAGUGAAGGUUGGGAUUCCAUCUAGGCUGCAGCAUCAAGGAUGAUUUGGUCCAGUUUCAAAUCAAUCUGGUUGCUUCCUGCUAAUUCAAUCUCAGGCACAUGUGUGGAUUUUCAAGUGAUUGAGAUGUCAAUGUCAUGGUUGUUGAGCUCCAGCAAAAACGACACCUUGAGCAAAUGAAAUGAAGCUCCAACAAAAGUGACACCUUGAGCAAAUGGAAUAACCAGCAUGUAAGGUUAGGGGCCAAAAUCACUUGCAAAUGGAACAAUAUAGUUGGAUCAGGGAGCUGCUUGUUUGUUCCUAAGAUGAUGUUCGUUGGGGACAAACCGCGAAGGUCCACAAGGGGAAGCAAGUGACGAUACUUUUGAGGCAUGCAUACUCGUGCCUCACAUGUCUGUGGCUACUUUAUUGGACUGAAUUUCAAGUAUCUGCUUUAGUUGUUGUUUUAGCUCUUGCCGAAAUGAAUGGGUGUUAUGCACAGGAUCCUUGCAAAAAGAGGGUAAUAGUAUACUUCAAGUUAAUUAGUCUCUAGGUUGCUUCCAUCCGUUAUAGUAUUGUGCAGACUGAUGACUGGUAUGCGUUUGAGGUUUUUUGUUUAAAUUUUAGUAGGCAAUAGGGUACUGUGAUCAAAACAUUAGUGUGGGAUGUCCUAUCCUUCAAGGACCUUAUAGGAAAUAUUAGUGAUGGUGUCAACAGACCUCCAGAGAUCUCUAAUGUGCUCACAAGAGAAUAAAAAUCUAUUGUAUGAC